ACAAUCUGGAGUUCCAGGCACAGCUUUGGGAAGCUUAGGAGAUCCUUCUGGAAGGGAGAAUUAUGCCAAUAUGGAGUGCACGAAGGGGAAAAAGUAUAAGGAUAGACAAGGUUGAGUUUACUGUCUCUGCCCUCUUCAUCAGUAGUAUUUGCAUGCAUGCUUAAAUGUCAACAGGACUUUAAUUUUGGCCAAUUUAGAACAAUGCUUCAAUAAUGCAAUUCACUCAAACACAGGGAAGCAGCUCUCCAUUUUCAUCUCCAUCCUCUCUGAUCCACCCACCAUUCCCUACUUCCCAGUCACUCAUUCUUUUGAUGAGCUAUGAAGAACUGAUGGCUUCCAGGAGGUUGGAGGAGAGUCGGUUUUCUCUAAGGGCGAAACCGAUGCUUAAUUCCUCACCGGAUGUGGGCACGUGAGACAAAGGGUUCUGACUUCUGUGAGGACAGGGGAGGUCUGGCUAAGUACAAGGAGACAAGGAUGGAUCAAUUUGCAUUCUUCUGCAUGCUGACCUCCAGUUGAACCAGCACCAUUUCUUGAAAAGGUUAUCUUUUUUCCACUGGAUGUUUGCAGCCCCUUUGUCGAGGAUCAAGUGGCCAUAGGUGUGUGGGUUCAUUUCUGGAUCUUCAAUCCUGUUCCAUUGAUUCACCUGACUGUCACUGUACCAAUACCAUGCAGUUUUUUACACUAUUACUCAGUAGUAUUGCUUGAGGUCAGGGAUACUGAUUCCCCCAGAAUUUCUUUUGUUGUGGAGAAUAGUUUUAGCUAUCCUGGGUUUUUUGUUAUUCCAGAUGAAUUUGAGAAUUGCACUUUCUAACUCUAUGAAGAAUUGAGUUGGGAUUUUGAUGGGUAUUGCGUUGAAUCUGUAUAUUGCUUUUGGCAAAAUGGCCAUUUUAGCUAUAUUAAUCCUGCUGAUCCAUGAGAAUGGGAGGUUUUUCCAUUUUUUGAGGUCUUCUUCCUUCUUCAUAGUCUUGAAAUUUUUGUCAUAAAGAUCUUUCACAUGUUUGGUAAGAGUCACCCCAAGGUACUUUAUACUGUUUGUGGCUAUUGUGAAGGGUGUCAUUUCCCUAAUUUCUUUUUCAGCCUAUCCUUUGAGUAUAGGAAGGCUACUGAUUUUCUUGAGUUGAUUUUAUAACCUGCCACUUUGCUGAAGUUGUUUAUCAGCUGUAGGAGUUCUCUAGUGCAGUUUUUGGGUCACUAACAUGUCAUCUGCAAAUAAUGAUAGUUUGACUUCUUCCUUUCCAAUUUGUAUCCCUUUGACUUCCUUAUGUUGUUCAAUUGCCCAAGCUAGUACCUCAAGUACAAAUGAAUCAAGGACCUCCACAUAAAGCCAGACACUCUGAAGCUAAUAGAAAAGAAACUGGGGAAGACCCUUGAGGACAUGGGUACAGGGGGAAAGUUCCUGAACAGAACACCAAUAGCUUAUGCUCUAAGAUCAAGAAUUGACAAAUAGGAUCUCAUAAAAUUACAAAGUUUCUGUAAAGCAAAGGAUACCAUCAAAAGGACAAAUCGGCAACCAACAAAUUGGGAAAAGAUCUUCACCAACCCUACAUUAAAUAGAGGGCUAAUAUCCAAUAUAUACAAAGAACCCAAGAAGUUAGACCACAGAAAACCAAAUAACCCUAUUAAAAAAUGGGUUACAGAGUUAAACAAAGAAUUCUCACCUGAAGAACUUCAGAUGGUGGAGAAACAUCUUUAAAAAUGCACAACUUCCUUAGUCAUCAGGGAAAUGCAAAUCAAAACAACCCUGAGAUUUUACCUUACACCAGUCAGAAUGGCUAAGAUUAAAAACUCAGGAGAUAGCAGGUGUUGACAAGGAUGUGGAGAUAGAGGAACACUCCUCCAUUGCUGGUGGGGUUACAAAUUUGUACAACCACUCUGGAAAUCAGUCUGGUGGUUCCUCAGAAAACUGGGUACCUCACUUCCAAAAAAAUCCUGCUAUACCACUCCUGGGCAUAUACCCAGAGGAUUCCCCUGCAUGUAAUAAGGAUAUAGGCUCCACUAUGUUCAUAGCAGCCCUAUUUAUAAUAGCCAGAAGCUGGAAAGAACGCAAGUAUCCCUCAACAGA